GAAUAUCAUCCCUGCCCACCACCACCGGCAUCACCAUCACCACCUCCUUAGCUAACCAGAGCCCAUUGACACACAAGGAAAGGUUGAGCAAUGAAGACAUGGAUUACGACCAUUGCUCAAAGCUGUCUCCCAUCUCCUCUCCAGUUCCCAAGCUUGGAGCCCAUCACAAGCUGCUAGCCUUGGACUGGACCGUGCCCGAAUCGUAAAAAAGUUAUCCUUUCCACCCCGGCAGAAACAACGCCGCCACCGCUCUUUCUCCUUCUCCCCUCUUUAAGUUUUCAUCAGGCAAAAAUUGAAGCCCAAGUCACAAUAUAUUUACCUCUAUAAAUAAAAAUAAAACGCUCAUCAUCCCAUCAAAAAACAUAAGAGAAGCCGACGCGUAAAAAAAAAAAUGUGGGGAAAAUAACAUCUAUUUUUUUUUGAUAGCAGAGGGCCGACCCCCCCGAUCUCACCCUUCCCCGAGCUCGCCUUUCCAACCGUCACUCCCAAUUCCUCCAAAUCUGUGUAUAUAUUAGGGUUUCUUCGUUCCUCCCGUUCUUUCUUUCUUCGUCCAUCGACGAUUCCGAGGAAUUCUGGGGUUUCUGCGUCUCAAUCGAAUUCUGGGGUGUCUCCGCGGAAUUUAGGGCUCCUCGUCGCCGGCGGAAUGAUCAUAAAGCGGAGUCAGAGGGCGCAAAUGCCGAAGCUGAAGAGGUGCAAUGCAGAGGGCGCCGCCCCCGGCGAGGACGACGGGGAGAGGCGGCGGAAGAGGCGGCGGGAGGACGGGUUCUUUCCGCUGGAGGUGCUCGGGAUCGUCUCCGCCGCCGGAUUCCCGGCAUUCCCCUUCGGAUUCCGGCGACCGGGCGGGGACGCGCGAGAGGAGAUGAGCAGCGCGGCCGUGGCGUCUUCUUGGUGCACCGAGGUCUCGUACUGCUCCGGUGAGGUGGAGUCGGAGUCGAGAGAGAGAAGGCAGGAAGAGAGGGAUCGGCUGCACGAGGUGGUGGCGCCACCGCGGGCCCGACCGCCGGUCGUUCGGACGUCCCGAGGGCGCGUUCAGGUGCUCCCUUCCAGGUUUAACGAUUCCGUCCUUAUUGACCCGUGGAAGAAGGAGAAGCCCAAGGCGAAAGCGCUCGACCCCGAUUUUGAGAUCAAGACUGACCUGAUGGAACCUAGGAAACAAGGUUUCAUCCAUAAAGAUUCCAACUUCAGCUCAGUUUUCCCCAAUUCAAUCACAUUGUUCGACAACGAAGAACGCCAUUGGACGUGCAGAAAUUUAAAAUUCAAGAAAAAUUCUUCUUCUCGAAGUACUCUGACGUCUCUUCAUGAGAGUUUUGCGGGAGCUGAGAAGUGGUUGCCGCCGGUGGUUGAUGUGGAGUUUCCACUGGUUUAUGAUUCUGAUCCAAUGACGGUGGAAACAAGGAUGCUGAAGGAGAAUGUAGAACAGAGGAAGGAUUUCUAUCGGCCAGAGGAGUUUGUUCUGGGUAAUAUCGUUUGGGCUAAGUUAGGGAAGAAGUAUCCUGCUUGGCCAGCGAUCGUGGUCAAUCCAAUGCAGGAAGCUCCGGAGGCAGUUCUGCAAUCCUCCAUUCCUGGGGCCAUCUGUGUGAUGUUCUUUGGGUACUCCGGAAAUGGAAACCAUAGGGAGUAUGCAUGGGUGAAGGAGGGGAUGAUCUUUCCGUUUUUAGACUACGUAGACAGGUUUCAGGGACAGACAGAGUUGCAUAAGAGCAAGCCUAGCGAUUUUCGGUUGGCUAUGGAGGAGGCCUUCUUAGCUGAGCAUGGUUUCUUAGGAGUGCAAGUGGGUUGCAAUGAUACGGCUGAGCAGCCUGCAUAUCAUCAGUCCUGUCCUAGAGGGAUCCAAGAGGCCACUGAUUCGAACCAUGAUCAGGAGUGCCAAUCAGAGAUCCAGGCUGUAAACAAAUCAGGAAGGCAUUGUGAGAGUUGUGGAUUGAUCCUUCCAGUCAAAAGUGCAAAGAAAAUGAAGCAGAAAUCUGAACGACUAGUGUGCAGAUAUUGUGCUAAGCGUUUGAGUUCAAAACAAUAUUGUGGAAUAUGCAAGAAGAUUUGGCAUCAUGAAGAUGGUGGGAAAUGGGAUAUGGAAGACUCUCAUUAUUUUUGCCCUGACUGCAAGGCAAAGUUAAAUUUUGAAUCAUCAGAAACGGAGAAGAAGCACUCAGAAUCUAGUUGGCCAGACACAAGAUCCAAUAAAAUUACUGUUUGUUGUUUUGGGAUGGAAGGGGCUUACCUACCAGAGCAACACGUAAUCUCAUGUCAAUGUGACUCUUGCAAGGGGCAGAAAAAGUUCAUGCUUACUGAAUGGGAGCGACAUACUGGUUCUAAAACUAAAAACUGGAGGUCUAGUGUUAAAGUCAAGAGCGCGAUGUCACCACUGGGAAAAUGGGUAGGACGUUAUCAGGCUACUAUGGUUUCUGCACACCAUGCUAAACGCCCAUCUCCAAAAGUAAGGAAACAAAAGAUACUUGCUUCCUUGCACGAAGCAUAUGACCCAGUGUAUGUCAGAUGGACAACAGAACGAUGCGCAAUCUGCAGAUGGGUUGAGGACUGGGAUUACAAUAAAAUUAUUAUCUGUAACAGAUGUCAAAUAGCAGUUCACCAGGAAUGCUAUGGAGUGAGAGGCAAACAAGAUUUCACAUCUUGGGUUUGCCGAGCUUGUGAAACCCCAGAGCAAAAGCGGGAAUGCUGCCUUUGUCCUGUAAAAGGUGGUGCUUUAAAGCCAACGGACAUUGAUGCAUUAUGGGUCCAUGUCACGUGUGCCUGGUUUCAGCCUCAAGUUUCUUUUGCAAGUGAUGAAAUAAUGGAGCCUGCUGUUGGCAUAUUGAACAUUCCAUCCGAGUAUUUUGUGAAGGUUUGUGUCAUAUGCAUGCAAAUGCAUGGUUCUUGCACACAAUGCUUUAGAUGUUCCACUUAUUAUCAUGCCAUGUGUGCAUCAAGAGCGGGAUACCGCAUGGAGUUGCACUGCCUAGCGAGAAAUGGGAAACAGAUAACAAAAAUGAUCUCAUAUUGCGCGAAUCACCGGGCUCCAAACCCAGAUACUGUUUUAAUCAUACAGACCCCGGUAGGGGUAUUCUCUUCCAAAAAGUUGCUCCAGACUAACGAAAAGCAGAGAGGGUCAAGGCUGAUUAGGAAAGACAUCCCCAAAGUUCCAACCUUACCUUCUCAAUAUUCUGAAAUCUCAUCUGCAGCAAGGUGUCUGAUCUAUAAAAGAAUAGAAACUAAGAGAAAACAAGAAGAGGCCAUUGCCCACAGAGUGAUGGGGCCUAUUCAUCAUACUCUGGAUGAAAUUAGAUGCUAUAAUACACCUAGGGAUGAGAAGGAUCCUGAAUCAUUUUCUACGUUCAGGGAGCGUCUUAAAUAUUUGCAAAUGACUGAGAAUAGCAGAGUUUGUUUUGGUAGAUCUGGAAUACAUGGAUGGGGCCUUUUUGCACGUAGGAACAUUCAAGAAGGAGAAAUGGUCAUUGAAUACCGUGGGGAGCAGGUCAGAUGCAGCGUUGCGGAUUUGAGGGAAACACGUUAUCGGUUGGAAGGAAAAGAUUGCUAUCUUUUUAAAAUCAGUGAAGAAGUAGUGGUCGAUGCUACAGAUAAAGGGAAUAUAGCACGUUUAAUCAAUCAUUCUUGCAUGCCCAAUUGCUAUGCAAGAAUUAUGAGCGUGGGUGAUGAUGAGAGCAGGAUUGUUUUAGUAGCUAAGACAAAUGUUUCUGCUGGAGAUGAAUUGACGUAUGACUACUUGUUUGACCCUGAUGAAGGUGAUGAAUAUAAAGUUCCCUGUCUCUGCAAAGCUCCAAACUGUCGGAAAUUUAUGAACUAGGUAUCCGUACGCGCCCAUUUGUUCCUUCGCACGAAGCUGUUAAGUGGUCUGCAUAUGAACUUGCCUCAUGGAUGAUGGAGAGUUCCAACAUCUGCUUUAUUUUGUUCUCCAUGAGACUGUUGUUGUUUCUUGGAGGCAGAAUUGAUGUUGAUGUCUGCUUACCAUUGUUGCAAGUGUGUUGAUGGCCAUAUAUCCACCUUUUUUCUUGGUUGGUGGGGGGAUGUUUCAUGACUACUACAGACAAGAAUUAUAUGUAUGUCAACUUAUCGAUGCUCGUGGGGGGGGGGGGAAAAAAUGCUUCGAGGCCAAAGCCUUGGUUCCCGAGAAAAGCUCCGACUGAUAAGGUGUCGUGCAGGGACCGGAGCUUCACCCCACACGAACUCUAUGAAUGGGUUGCCGCUAUUGGAGUACUGCUAUACCCCCAACCGUGCACUGAUGUGAACGCUCGCCCGACCAUCGUCUCUCCUUUCUCACGUUUUCAACUCCGUCAAUUCUCCGAUCGACAAAGCCACCAUUCCAAAUGAAGCAGCGACGGAGUUCAGAUCCGGAGGUAGGCAAGAAGACAGGAGGCCGGUCUUGCCGCUGAGCUCUGAUGGUAGAGAGGAGAUAUUGGAGGGGGGGAAAGAGAGGAGAGGUCCGAGCCCGAGCUGGUGUUGAGCUCGAGAGAGAGGAGCGGUAUCGCGUGGGACGGUGGAAUCGCCGGUGAAGACGCCGCGGGAGGAAAGAACGAAGACAAAAAGAUUUGUAAGGUACCGCAAAUGGGCGUGGUAUGUUCUCCUUGUCUUGCAUAACAUCACAGCUGAUACCAAUGCUAAAUGCAAAAACAGUAACGAAGAAAAUAUUGUUCUAUAUUGACUAUUUAAUGAUAGCCAAAUUUGGGUACUUUCAAAA